AGAGGUGAGGAAGAAAAGUGUCUGAAUGUAUUUGUCGGGUUGGAGAAUAUUCUAAACCCUGGAGAACUAAGCCUUGUAUUUGAAGAUGUAAAUAAUCUGCAAACUAUGAAAGAGCAAAUACAUUUUACAACAAAAUGUAUUUUCAUAACAACUCAUAAAGUGUCUGUUGCCAGUGAAAUGAUAAAACUAGGAUUUUCUCCUAAAUAUAUUUUUGUUCUACAACCUGAGAAUUCAUUGACAUCAGAUUCUCCAGGAAAAUAUCUUUUCUACAGAAGCUGUAAAAUAA